GCGGACGGCUGGAUGAUCGCGUGUGUCUUAGGGUACGCGAGGAAAGUCCGGACUCCAUGAAGAAACGGUGCCGGGUAACGCCCGGCCGGGGAAACCCGAGGGAAAGCGCCACAGAGAACAGACUACCGCGCUUGCGCGGCAAAGGUGAAAAGGUGGGGUAAGAGCCCACCGGUGGGCUGGUAACAGCCCGCGCAUGGCAAGCCCCACCGGGAGCAAUGCCGAAUAGGGAUGUCAUGGCGGGUUGAUCCUUUGGGAUAUCACCGCCGGGCCUCUUCUGCCCAGACAUCCGGGUAGGCAGCUUGAUCCUGCGGGUAAUCGCAGGACCAGAGGAAUGGUCAUCCAGAGGGGCGCAAGCCCUUUGGACAGAAUCCGGCUUAUAGGCCGUCCGCGCAA
rnacentral:RNase_P_RNA from 1 species